UACGGAAGGGGCUAGCGUUGUUCGGAAUUACUGGGCGUAAAGAGCGCGUAGGCGGCUUACCAAGUUGGGGGUGAAAUCCCGGAGCUCAACUCCGGAACUGCCUUCAAAACUGGUAGGCUCGAGUCCGGAAUAGGGGCGUGGAAUUCCAAGUGUAGAGGUGAAAUUCGUAGAUAUUGGGAAGAACACCGGUGGCGAAGGCGGCGCCCUGGUCCGGUACUGACGCUGAGGCGAGAAAGCGUGGGGAGCAAACAGG
rnacentral:rRNA from 1 species